UACGUAGGGGGCAAGCGUUGUCCGGAUUUAUUGGGCGUAAAGAGCGUGUAGGCGGCUUGGUAGGUCUCGCGUCAAAACCUGAGGCUCAACCUCAGUUCGCGUGGGAAACCACCUAGCUAGAGUCCGGAAGAGGAGAACGGAAUUCCCAGUGUAGCGGUGAAAUGCGCAGAUAUCAGGAGGAACACCGGUGGCGAAGGCGGGUCUCUGGGCCGAUACUGACGCUGAGGAGCGAAAGCAUGGGUAGCGAACAGG
rnacentral:rRNA from 1 species